GCCAGCAUGACAUAGUGGUUUGAGUGUUGAACUAUGACUUCAGAGACCCUGGGUUCAAUUGCCUGCUCAGUCA